rnacentral:rRNA from 1 species
UACGAAGGGGGGCUAGCGUUGUUCGGAAUUACUGGGCGUAAAGCGCGUGUAGGCGGGUCUUUAAGUCAGGGGUGAAAUGCCAAGGCUCAACCUUGGAACUGCCUUUGAUACUGGAGACCUUGAGUCCGGGAGAGGUGAGUGGAAUUGCGAGUGUAGAGGUGAAAUUCGUAGAUAUUCGCAAGAACACCAGUGGCGAAGGCGGCUCACUGGCCCGGAACUGACGCUGAGGUGCGAAAGCGUGGGGAGCAAACAGG